GACGAACGCUGGCGGCGUGCCUAAUACAUGCACGUAGAACGCAGUUGCGAACGGGUGAGUAACGCGUAGGUAACUGCCUCAUAGCGGGGGUUAACUAUUGGAAACGAUAGCUAAUACCGCAUACUGUGUGAUGGACCUGCGUUGUUUUAACCAGUUGGUGAGGUAAAGACUCACCAAUGAGACGAUACAUAGCCGACCUGAGAGGGAGAGCGGCACCACGGGUACUGAGACACGGCCCAGAUUGCUACGGGAGCCAGCAGUAGGGAAUCUUCGGCAAUGGACGGACGUCUAGCCGAGCAACGCCGCGUGAGUGAAGAAGGUUUUCGGAUCGUAAAGCUCUGUUGUUAGAGAAGCGGUAACGAACCAGAAAGGGACGACUAACUACGUGCCAGCAGCCGCGGUAAUUC
rnacentral:rRNA from 1 species